UGCGAACUCCUACGGGAGGCAGCAGUGGGGAAUUUUGGACAAUGGGCGCAAGCCUGAUCCAGCCAUGCCGCGUGCAGGAUGAAGGCCUUCGGGUUGUAAACUGCUUUUGUACGGAACGAAAAGGUCCUUUCUAAUAAAGAGGGCCCAUGACGGUACCGUAAGAAUAAGCACCGGCUAACUACGUGCCAGCAGCCGCGGUAAUACGUAGGGUGCAAGCGUUAAUCGGAAUUACUGGGCGUAAAGCGUGCGCAGGCGGUGAUGUAAGACAGUUGUGAAAUCCCCGGGCUCAACCUGGGAACUGCAUCUGUGACUGCAUCGCUGGAGUGCGGCAGAGGGGGAUGGAAUUCCGCGUGUAGCAGUGAAAUGCGUAGAUAUGCGGAGGAACACCGAUGGCGAAGGCAAUCCCCUGGGCCUGCACUGACGCUCAUGCACGAAAGCGGGGGGAGCAAACAGGAUUAGAAACCCCAGUAGUCCAGAUG
rnacentral:rRNA from 1 species